rnacentral:lncRNA from 1 species
GGUUCGAUCCCUGACCUCACUCAGUGGAUUAAUGAUCUGGUGUUGCUGUGGCUCUGAUGUAGGCCGAUUCAACCCCUAGCCUGGGAACCUCCAUAUGCUGUGGGUGCGGGCCUAGAAAAGACAAAAAGAAAGAAAAAGCUUGUAUUUCAAUCCAGACAAUAGGCAUUUUCACCCUAAAAAUCUAUACAUUAAUAAUUUUUUAAAUAUUAAGAAAUAUAGGAGUUCCCGUCGUGGCGCAGUGGUUAACGAAUCCGACUAGGAACCAUGAGGUUGCGGGUUCGGUCCCUGCCCUUGCUCAGUGGCCUACACCACGGCUCAUAGCAAUGAUGGGUCCUUAACCCACUGAGUGAGGCCAGGGAUAGAACCCACGUCCUCAUGGAUACUAGUCGGAUUUGUUUCCACUCUGCCACAAUAGAAACUCCUGAAAUUUAUUUUUUACAAGACAAAAUUUUCAAUGAAAUUCAUAUGACUUCUGAUGUCAUUUUUUUUGUUUUUUUAUAAUUGUCCCCAUCCAAUAAUGACAUAAUAAACAGUUAAUCAAUAUGUAUGAAUUUUCCUCUCAUUGAAUAAAUAAAGCCAUGGAGAAAAAAAUUUCAUUUUCUGAUGAUUCUCGGCUAAGGGUUUGGGAAUUUCUUAUGCUUUCAUUAUUAUAGAUGACAAUUAACACUGGUGGGAAAGAAAGGUUCUGGUUGCUCUUUGAAGAGCCCUUGCCUGCUGCUCAUUGGUAUGGCUGCUACUAUGUUAGUAUCAUGAGUGUUGUAACUGUUGAUACCUUGUUCUUCCAUAUUUCUUCCAAGUUCUGUUAGUCAUCAGAGCUGGAUGCCAAAAACAAAUCUCCCUUAAGUACACCAGUAACAUGUUCUACCCCUUUGCCAUUGCUUUUUGUACAGAAAUAGGCUUCCUGGAAAUUCACUCUGUGGCAAACUUUCCAGAAUAUCUACCCAAUACCAAAGAAUAUAUGCUCCAAAUAUAUUUUAAAUGAGUUAGAUAAGUUUGUUGCAAAUGAGAGUUGAUGUGACAAUGGAUUAGUUAUUAAUCAGUAGUAUUUUAGUAUAAAGGUAAUAACACUUGAUUCUUUUAUGGCACAUAAUGUUUGAGAUAGAUUGAACAAAAGCAUUUUAUGACUUUUUCUUGACUAAAGUUCAGCAACAAGUAAUAUUUUUCUGUUUAUCCCUUUUCUUAGGUUAAUUUAAUGAUUUCUCAUUUUUACUGAAAAAAGUUACUAUUUUUCAACUUUGAAAAACUAUAAAGCUGGCAUAAUAAGUAAACAAAUAAGUAAAUAAAUAAAUAAAACUAGGCAACAACAGUUCUUUUGGUGCAUUGUUUGUGUAACUAUAUUGGAAGGAAAAAACCAUUUGCUUUGGUACAUAUCUAUCAGUGGAGAUUCCAGUCACAAUCUAAAUGAAGGAGAUGCAAAAGAACCUUGAAGAGGUAUCAGAUUUGUUUUUUUAGUUUUUUGUUUUUUGCUUUUUAGGGCCACACUUGUGGCAUAUAGAAGGUCCCAGGCUAGGGGCUGAAUCAGAGCUACAGCUGCCGGCCACAACCACAGUCACAGCCACAGCCAUGCAGGAUCUGAGCCACAUCUGUGACCUACACCAUAGCUCACGGCAAUGCCCGAUCUCUGAUCCACUGAGCAAGGCCAGGUAUCAAACUCACAUCCUCAUGGAUACUGGUGUGAUUUGUUUCCAUUGCACCAAAACAGGAACUUCCAGAUUAUAUAUUUUAACUAAAAUAAAAUGAAUUGGUACACUUGGUAGUUAAAUAAUUUCCAGGGAACCUGUGUUAGUUACACUUCGGCCCUUUUAAUUUCAGAGAAAGUUAUCACAGAAGGAAAAAAAUCAGAAAGUCAGCAUCCACUAUUAAUUUCUCAUUAGAGGUCUAGACACAAAUACAAGUUGCCUGCUCUCCUUGAAAUUUGAAUCUUGUUUCUCCAUGCAAUUUAGUAUCUUACCAAUAGGUUUUAUUUUUCUACAGCACUGGGAGAAUCAGUGUAUCCAGAUAUUGGUAUAUUUCUUAAUGGUCUAUUAAUAAAUGAAGAACCAGAUAAGAUUGGUUUGCUAUAUCACUACUACUUGGGUCAGGAAGUCAGGUUGUUUCUUAUGAAGUUCUACUAUGUAGUUUUGAUAACAUGGGUCACGUUGACAUCUAUACGAAUAUAAGAUUAAUGCUUAUUAUAUGUGUGAAAGGCAGCAUUAUAGAAAAGUAGACAUUGUAAGGAACAUUAUUGUAGCUCUCAAUCUUGACAUAUAAGCUAAUAUAAUAAUGAAAAAUAUUAGAAAUGCUAAUAAGGUACAUGUCAGUAUAAAGUGGCAUUGUUCCAACUAGACAGAAAAUGCAUUUCUAUUAGCAUCUUAUUGAUAACAUCAAUAGCAACAGUAACAAAUCCAUAAGCCUUGCUUCUUUUCUCCUUGAAUU